rnacentral:rRNA from 1 species
CAGCCGCCGCGGGAAUACGAAGGGUGCAAGCGUUACUCGGAAUUACUGGGCGUAAAGCGUGCGUAGGUGGUGGUUUAAGUCCGUUGUGAAAGCCCUGGGCUCAACCUGGGAAUUGCAGUGGAUACUGGGUCACUAGAGUGUGGUAGAGGAUAGUGGAAUUUCCGGUGUAGCAGUGAAAUGCGUAGAGAUCGGAAGGAACAUCUGUGGCGAAGGCGGCCAUCUGGGACAACACUGACGCUGAGGCACGAAAGCGUGGGGAGCAAACAGGAUUAGAGACCCGCGUAGUCCCUGUCUCUUAUAC